rnacentral:lncRNA from 1 species
GACCCCAGCUUGCCUCAACACUGGAAUCAUGAAUGUGCUUUAAAAAGAAUGAAGAGAUCCUCUGUCAAACCCAGACCUACUAAAAAAAUAAUACAUAAGAACAAGGCCAUCUACACAUUUAUUUAAGUGAUUCUUACAAUCAACCAGAGAACCACCUCUCUAGUCUUCCUUCAUUGAGAUAAAUAAAUCCAUCAGAUUAGCAACUCGCCAUUACCAGCAGGGCAGGUCAGCCUUCAAUCAGGGGCAAAGAUUAGGGAUGGAAGGCAAGGAUUAGAGGGACAAAGAAGAAGCAAGAGCGGGGUGAUGUGGGCCACACAGAGGCAUCUCACAGAAAGGCCCCAUGUGGGCCAAAGAGGAUUCUUGGCAUGGCUGUCUGAAUGGUUUUAAAGACUGGUUUGUCAAAAGAAGACAGUGGCAAAGCCCACUUGGCCUUUUUCAAGUGAAAACGAAAAUCCUGCAUCUGUCAGUAGUGUCCACCAUCUUUCUGCUAUUCUUCAACAUGAGGAAUCAGAGCUAUCUCUUCAAACUCCAUUCCUUUCAUAGGUGCGAAAGAGAGGAACUCUGAACCCAGACACUUCAAUGCAACAUACACAUAGGUGAUCUCUUAGCUUACCUUUCCCACCUGGGAGAGCACAUCCCCGGCUCAUUUACUCAUUCAAUCAUUUAAUUAACCACCAUUUACUGAGCAAACAUAAUAGGUUGAAAAAAGGCAAACUGGCUUGGUGGGUCCGUAGUAGACUAUGAACUUUACUAUGAUGACACAAGAGGAAAAAGAAGUGGAACACGAUGUGGUGUUGGCAGCACCCAAAUCAUACAGACUCUUAAACGUCUCUAUGUCUGUUUUAAGGAGGAGAAGAACCUGGCACCCCCCACCCCUACCUGAGCUUAUACAUACACAGCAGAAGAGAACAGAGGCUGCUCAAAGACAUGGACUCUUCUGGCAGAUGUACCUGCAAGUUGGAAAGAUAACAAAUGAACUGAUUCCUUACUCCAGAGUUGACACUGAUAGUGCUUGCCGAAUUUGCUCUCAGAAAAGAAUCCUGGGCAACAAUACAUCUGGCACUCUGCUCGAGGAAUUUGUCAUGUCGUUGACAUGUUCAGCCUCCAUUGUCCACACCACCCCGACAGCAGGUCCUUUAUAUUUCAAAGAAAUUGCAGUCUGAAUUAAUAUAAUUAGAAUGUAGCUGCUAUUCACUGCACAAACUCUUCAUUUCCAGGAGUGCGGAUCUGAUAGUGCGUCCGUGCACAAAAUCUUCCCCGUGAUGGUUGGAGGGUAGCGAGCAGAUAAUAGAAUGACAGAAUAGACACUAUUUCAUCAACCUUUAUAAGCCCCAACUAAUGGAAAUGUAGGAGGAGAAGAAAUCCAUCCUAUCUUUGACAUGUUUAAAUAGAAAUAUCCUUCAGGUUUACCAGCCUGUAAGCACUUUAAUAAAAUAUGUAGAAUAGUAUCUGAAGUAAGAGAAAAAAUGAAAUAGGAAAGAUUGCAUAUCUUCCAAAAGACAGUUAUAGGAGGUGCAGUGAGUAAUUCAUGGAUAGAGUUACAGAAUUAGAUGGUUGUCCGAUGACUUCAUUUAUUCUUUUCUGCGUCACUGUAAAGAGUCAAGGUCACCAACCAGGAAAUUAUCACCAAGUAAUCCACUUGAAUGCUAGAUUCUCGAAUUUUAUUGUUUGUUAUUGUUAUGUUUCUAUAAACACUUGAUAAUUGAUAUGGUAGAAACCCUACAUCAGCAUCUUCUUGUGGAAAUAAGAGUCAUUUAUAGUCUCUCAAAUAUGUUGGUAUUCUUACCUUGAAUGACUCCUUUUUAGGGGAAUAAUGACCUGUCAUAUCCAUGUGUAGCCUGGUCCUCAUGGUCUCUCCUCUGUGAAUAUAGAAUGUAUCCUUGUGCAAGUUUGUGUUCUUCCAAAAUGUAUAUGUUGAAGUCCUAAUCCCCAAUGUUAUGUUUUUAGAGGCCAUCUUUGGGAGGUAAGUAGUUUAGAGGAGAUCAUGAGGUUGAGGUCCCAUGACGGGACUAGAUCUAUAUAUAUGAUGGAGAGAUACAAGGCAUACUCUAUCUUUCUCUCCUCCAACUAAGGACACAGCAAGAAGGCUGCCAUCUACAAGCCAGGAAAAGAGCUCUUAACCAAGAACUGAAUGAAUGAGCAUCUGUUUUUUUUUUUUAAUUUUUUAAAAUGUUUAUUUAGUUUUUAGAGACAGGAGAGACACAGAAUCUGAAGCAGGUUUCAGGCUCUGAGCUGUCAGCACAGAGCCCAACGUGGGGCUCAAACCCACUAACUGUGAGAUCAUGAUCUGAGUCGAAGUCAGACGCCUAACUGACUGAGCCAUGAAGGUGCCCCUGAACAAGCAUCUUGAUCUUGGAUUUCCCAGGCUACAGAAGUAUGAGAAAUAAGUUACUGUUGUCUGUGCCCCCCAGGCUGUGGUAUUUUGUUAUGGUAGGCUGAGCUGACUGACAGUGGAUAGGAGCUCAUUGGCUUAAUGAGCACUGAGGAAAGAUAAUGGUUUCCAUCUUCUUGUUGUUCUUAGAAGCACAUAUUGAUCUUCACCUGCACUUCUGUGUCAGAAACUGCAAUAAUAGAAGUAUGGGACAUGGCUAAUAUAGCAUAAAAAUAGGGCCAAGGUUUGGAGUUGUGGAGACUUCAGGCUCUCUUUAUAAAGUCUGAUCAUACUUUUCCAGGCAGUAUCUUGGAAAAGUCAAGCGUGAUCCUUUGCCUCCAGGUUCUCCUGUGGAGUGUCUUCGUUGCUUCCCUUGACCUGAAAAGAUUGCAUACCAUGUUUCAUUAGCUAGGAAAGUGCUUUUCAGAAUUAGGUGGGCUUCAGAAUCAUAUGUAUAUGUGUGCGCGCAUGUUGUGUGUGAAUUGGGGGGAAGGAAGUGUGCUGAUGAUCAGAUCCCACAAGUCCAUUGAAUCAGAAUAGCCCGCUGUGGGGCCCAAAUUGUGUAGGCUGAAAACCACUCCAAGGACACUGGUGCAGACCAAACCUGAAUACAAAUAUUCAAUUAGGUGGAUCUUUUUAUAGGUGAUAGGUGUGAUUUUUAAAAAACUGGAUACAUUUAAUUCUAUAAGAGGAAGUCCACUAAAGAUAUUUUGGGCCUGUGGAUUAUCGGAAUACCUGUCAGAACAUUUCCCCAUUUGUGGAUUUUGCCUUUGCCCUGUGCCACAGUUACUCAGCUUCAGUUUCUCAGUCUGUCUGUCCUGUUUGGGUUAGAAAAAAAAUGGCACCUCACAGGUUUAGGCAGUUUCUUUGCUAACAUCACAGGUCCAAUAGGGAUUUAAAUUUUAAUGUGAAAACUCCUUUAUUAGAGUAUAUAAGAGCCCCUCUCUCCAAUGCAUUUGUAUUAUUACUUUGGAUGUUUAAUAAUAGGAUUGUGUGUGAUAAGCACAUGUUUAGACAUCCAAUUAUAUGCACAGAUGGAGAAUACCAAGCUUUCAGGAAAGAGCAGUGGAACCGGCCUCUGUGGAAUAUGAAAGUCAGACUUGAGCGUGAGAGGUUCAGGGAAUUCUUGUCCCAAGCCUCUCAGUUUCUCCCAACCACUGUUUCUGACAUUACCAUUUGAUUUUUAGUGGCCUUACCAGAAGUCUCUGGAGGGUGGGUGGGAAAUGGAUUGGGAAGGAGGGCUUCCUAUCUUCUGUUUGACCAAUAGCAUGCGGGAUAGACUUGUCAUGUGGAAAACAGCUUGAUUUAUCCAAGAAAGGUGACAGUGACUCCCAGGACCCAGCCUGCCCACCCCAGAGGAUGUUAUUCUGAGGUUUACAGAAUAAACGAAUUGAUGAUCAGGUGCAUGGAGUGAAUACAUAACUAUUUUCCCCCCCCCAAAAAAAACAAAAAAAAUUUUUUUUAAUGGUGAAAGACAUGGAAGACACUAUGGGGGAGAAAGAAGAAUGCAGGAAAACGAAAGGAGAAAGUUUGGGCUGGAGUGCUGGUUUUUAGAACCAGAGACGUGGAUUCGAAUCCACCUUUUCUAGUUAUGCUCCACAGAGUUACUUCACACCUCUGAGCCAGUCUUCGCAUAUAGUCGAUGGGACUAAUUUUCAUACAUUCUAUGGGAAUAAUGCUGCUCUUGCAUGGUUGUCAUAGGGACUUGCUGAAGCACAUUCCUCUUAAAGACGUGGUGAAAUUCUGGGAACAGAGUAGUUUAAACACGGUACAUCUGAGCUAAAGCACUAUUAAUGCUGGUAGUACAGUGGGGGAGGGGGGCGCUAACACGCGCUUGCCAGGCAAGCACACUUGAUUUGGAGUCCCUUCUGAUUUUAGGCAGAAUUACUGAUAUUGGGAUUCUUAACACUACAGUUAAAUAUUAACUGUAUAUUACAAUUAAAUAUUAAAUACAUUUAAAAGAAUUUGUUGAGGGCCACCUGCGUGGCUCAGUCGGUUAAGCAUCCGACUUCGGCUCAGAUCCUGAUCUCGCCGUUGGCAGGUUCGCUGGCCUGGAGCCUGCUUCAGAUACCAUGUCUCCCCCUCUCUCUGCUCCUCCCAGGCUGGUGCUCUGUCUUCUCUCUCUCUCUCUCUCUCUCAAAAAUAAACAUUAAACAUUUCUUAGGGGUGCUUGGGUGACUUAGUGGGUUAAGCGUUGUAUGCUUGGUUUUAGUUCAAGUCAUGAUGUGACGGUUCAUGAGCUUGAGCCCUGCACUGGGCUCUGUGCUGACAGCUCAGAGCCUGGACCCUACUUCAGAGUCUCUCUCUCUCUCUGCCCCUCCCUCACUCAUGCUCUGUUUCUCUCUCACUCU